CUUCAUCUUCACUAAUGUUUUUUUGGGGAGGAAACUUGGUAAACAAACUCUUUACAGAAGAGGAGCUACAGCAUGUGGGCUAGGCAGAAUGAUAAUGAAUAAUUCAGUAUGAUGGAUGAAUGAAAUGAUGGAUGGGGAGAGCUGAAAUUGUUAGUGAUGUUUUACCUGCCAUUGCCACAUACUUAGAUGUCUCCAGUGCUAAGUGGGAUAGCAAAUGUUGGCAAGCUAUGUUUCCUUGAUCAGGACUCUACAGGUCUAGAACAAAAGCUACAUCGGGUUUUUAUUUUUAUUUUUCCCUUCACCGUGAUGUCUAAUCUCUUCCCAUUCCCUUGCAUUUGACACAAACAAGGAUGUCUUUCAGUUACAGGACACUGGUCUGUGUGCUUGAGCUCUGGGCAUUUUUUCAGUACAUAACAUCAAACAAAAAUGGGUGUACAGCAGUCACAGAAACAUCAAAUACUUUUUUUUUUUUUUUUAAGGUGGUAGAAGAGUUGCAUCCCGUGAAGGCAUUUGUCUGGAAACAAGGAACGUCCACCAUCCUCCAAAUGUCCCAUUGGCCUUCUACUAGGCUGGUAGAACAGUAAAAACACAUCAAGGCAGCAGGAGUAACAUUUCAGGUCGUGGAUUGUCCAAAUAAAUGAUUUUCCUUACAAAACUGUUGAAGUCUA
rnacentral:lncRNA from 1 species